UUCAAGGACUGUGGCCUGUCCUGCCAGUGUCUGGGCCUUUGGCACUUGGCGGGCGGGUUGCUCAUCUCUACCAUAGAGGAGUCCAUCAGGCCAACGGGACCUAUGCAGGUUGCUGCCGGGUACUUCUCUGAUGAGCCAGAAGGAGAGCCAUCGCAGCCCAUGAUAAGCACAGACAUGGUGGCCAUGCACAGCUGUGGCUGCAAGCACAGCUCUGGGGGCACUACCAUCUGCCUGCAGCACAUAAUCUCCUCUCUGCUUGGGACACAUCAACCCUGGACAUCAGUAGCUAAGCAAGAAACAGCUGUCUUGCCUCUGGUUGUUGGCCUGCUAAAACAACUGCCCCCAGUCCCUGCUUCAGGGAAUUCAGCUCCUCCCUGCACUUGGCGCCUUAGCCCUGGGCGACCUCCCUGCAUGCGCCCUAAGUGGGUCCCUCCACUCCAGUCCAAGCAGCUCCUAUGGAGGCCCCGCCCCACGACUUCCUCUGACACCAGCUCCUGCCCACUGCUAGUCCCCUCAGGUCCCUGGCUCUCCGGGUUCUUUGCUGAGAGCGCGCCAGAGCCCAGGUCUCCCUCAGGACCCUGGGAGAAGGCCAGGAGGCCCAGAGGGCAGCCCAAGCCGCUUGGAACUCGCUCCUUGAAACACAGAUCCUCCCCCACAGCGAGGCCUCCUGGGAAGGAGGCUUGAGUGGCGCAGGGCGUCUUGAAACUGGUUCCGCACGGUGGCGGUAGAGCUCCAGCUAUGGCCAGCAGCCCUGGGCCUGAGCGCGCCUCUCCCGCCCUGGCUGUCUGAAAAAACGCCACCCAGACAAAGGCACCAGGCAACAUGGCCGCCCUGUCCUUUGCCCAGUUCUGAGGAAGCAGCUCCCGAUGCUGCUUUUGCUUUUUCAGUAUUUGUGGCGUUUGGUUCACGAUGUUUGCCUCUGUCGUGAUUCUGCCCGAGACAGGCUUUGCCGUGUUGCCCAGGACCAGCUGGAAAUCGUGGUGCCAGUGCAGCAGCUUCCAGCUCCUCUCUCCUGUUGUUUUCCAUCUGAACUCUGACCAAGGCCUGAGUGCCAUCCUCCCCUGGGCCUCCCCUCUCUCUGGUGGAACGUUCAGGGAGGCCCUGCUCAUUCAGUCUGUUCUGAGUUGAACUGCACCCAGUCUUCCUCCCUCUGUAGUUUGUGAGUGCUCAGACCAGGUGAGAGAAAUGACACGGUUCGGUUUGUUUUUUACUCUUUUUAGGACACAAGAAGUUGGGAAUCCAACGUGUCAAUAUGUAUGUCUUCCAGAGAGCCAAUGUGCACAUGGUGAUGUGUCUUAGUCUAGGUUCUGUUGCCAUAACAAAAAUACCUGAAGCUGAGUAUUUUGUAAGAAAUGGACAUUUCCUGUCCUCAUGGUUGUGGAGAUGGGAAAUCUAAGAAUAGGACCUCAGUGUCUGCUGAGCCGUUGGUGGGGGUCUUCUUGCUUAAUCAUAAUGUGGAAGAGGCCAGCACAGAGAGACAGAGGAAGCUUCUUGGAGACACCUGGCUUUUAUAGCAGAGUCACUCCCCACAAAACCUAUGAAUCCAUGAGUGGACUGAUCAGUGCCUGUGCAUGAGGGCAGAGUUCUCAUGAGCCAGUGACCUCCCAGAAAUACUUCAGUUCCCGUUCACACAUAAUUUUGGGAUUAACUUUCCGACAAUGGGUUUCCAGGGCACAACCAUUGAAACCAUACUAUGAAGUGACUUUUAAAGUUGAAUGAAAAUCGCUAGCAUCAUCUACUUUUCUAAAGUGGCCUUAAAAAACGAGUCUGUCACAAGGAGAGAGAGAGGAAGCUUCUUCGAGACACCUGACUGGUGUCCUCCAGCCUGGAUGUUGGUUUAUUUUCAAGUUUCCCCUUUAGAUUUCAGGCAGAGAAUGUUGAGGUAGGGGACUUGGUGUUGUGGUAUUCAUGUAUUUUAUGUCCUCUAGGCUGUGGUGAAUGCAGACAUGGGAAGAAGUGGUCACGUGGAAAGUGAGUUCAAAAAGAGAGAGAGAACAUGAAAAUGGGGACAUCUUCUAUCAUUGGAAGCAGAAGGCACGAGGGAAAAGAUAGUCGUCCACCUCCCCUUGAGGGCUCACAUCCAGCAGUCGAUGGGGCGCCCCAGGAUCCACAAGCAGCUUAUAGUAGGUGACAGAAACCUGUUCUUCUGGGCUCAGUAAUUGCAAGGAAGGGCACUUCUCAGUAGCUGGUGAGUCACAGAAAGCCUCACAGCCCUGCAGGUGGCGGCAGCAACAACACAGGAAACAGACGCCCUGGCUCAGGUUCCUGUUCUCCCAAAAGAGCUGCCCCUGGCCAUGGCUUCUGGGAAUUCAGCGCCUCCUCGCGCUGGGCACCUAGGCCCAGGGAGACCUCCCUGGAUUGCCCCUUAGUGGGUCCCUCCGCUCCAGUCCAAGCAGCUCCUAUGGAGGCCCCGCCCCACGACUUCCUCUGACACCAGCUCCUGCCCACUGCUAGUCCCCUCAGGUCCCUGGCUCUCCGGGUUCUUUGCUGAGAGCGCGCCAGAGCCCAGGUCUCCCUCAGGACCCUGGGAGAAGGCCAGGAGGCCCAGAGGGCAGCCCAAGCCGCUUGGAACUCGCUCCUUGAAACACAGAUCCUCCCCCACAGCGAGGCCUCCUGGGAAGGAGGCUUGAGUGGCGCAGGGCGUCUUGAAACUGGUUCCGCACGGUGGCGGUAGAGCUCCAGCUAUGGCCAGCAGCCCUGGGCCUGAGCGCGCCUCUCCCGCCCUGGCUGUCUGAAAAAACGCCACCCAGACAAAGGCACCAGGCAACAUGGCCGCCCUGUCCUUUGCCCAGUUCUGAGGAAGCAGCUCCCGAUGCUGCUUUUGCUUUUUCAGUAUUUGUGGCGUUUGGUUCACGAUGUUUGCCUCUGUCGUGAUUCUGCCCGAGACAGGCUUUGCCGUGUUGCCCAGGACCAGCUGGAAAUCGUGGUGCCAGUGCAGCAGCUUCCAGCUCCUCUCUCCUGUUGUUUUCCAUCUGAACUCUGACCAAGGCCUGAGUGCCAUCCUCCCCUGGGCCUCCCCUCUCUCUGGUGGAACGUUCAGGGAGGCCCUGCUCAUUCAGUCUGUUCUGAGUUGAACUGCACCCAGUCUUCCUCCCUCUGUAGUUUGUGAGUGCUCAGACCAGGUGAGAGAAAUGACACGGUUCGGUUUGUUUUUUACUCUUUUUAGGACACAAGAAGUUGGGAAUCCAACGUGUCAAUAUGUAUGUCUUCCAGAGAGCCAAUGUGCACAUGGUGAUGUGUCUUAGUCUAGGUUCUGUUGCCAUAACAAAAAUACCUGAAGCUGAGUAUUUUGUAAGAAAUGGACAUUUCCUGUCCUCAUGGUUGUGGAGAUGGGAAAUCUAAGAAUAGGACCUCAGUGUCUGCUGAGCCGUUGGUGGGGGUCUUCUUGCUUAAUCAUAAUGUGGAAGAGGCCAGCACAGAGAGACAGAGGAAGCUUCUUGGAGACACCUGGCUUUUAUAGCAGAGUCACUCCCCACAAAACCUAUGAAUCCAUGAGUGGACUGAUCAGUGCCUGUGCAUGAGGGCAGAGUUCUCAUGAGCCAGUGACCUCCCAGAAAUACUUCAGUUCCCGUUCACACAUAAUUUUGGGAUUAACUUUCCGACAAUGGGUUUCCAGGGCACAACCAUUGAAACCAUACUAUGAAGUGACUUUUAAAGUUGAAUGAAAAUCGCUAGCAUCAUCUACUUUUCUAAAGUGGCCUUAAAAAACGAGUCUGUCACAAGGAGAGAGAGAGGAAGCUUCUUCGAGACACCUGACUGGUGUCCUCCAGCCUGGAUGUUGGUUUAUUUUCAAGUUUCCCCUUUAGAUUUCAGGCAGAGAAUGUUGAGGUAGGGGACUUGGUGUUGUGGUAUUCAUGUAUUUUAUGUCCUCUAGGCUGUGGUGAAUGCAGACAUGGGAAGAAGUGGUCACGUGGAAAGUGAGUUCAAAAAGAGAGAGAGAACAUGAAAAUGGGAGUCGGUAACACUGAGCUGCACUCCAAUGGGCCAGAUCCUGUGGAAAUGAAGUUCCACCCGCACAGGUGUCCUCAGGAAGGAGGAGUAGAUUCAGGCUUCUGAUGAAACCUGAAAGCAGUCCUGUGCUGGAGACCAAGGACAUCUUCUAUCAUUGGAAGCAGAAGGCACGAGGGAAAAGAUAGUCGUCCACCUCCCCUUGAGGGCUCACAUCCAGCAGUCGAUGGGGCGCCCCAGGAUCCACAAGCAGCUUAUAGUAGGUGACAGAAACCUGUUCUUCUGGGCUCAGUAAUUGCAAGGAAGGGCACUUCUCAGUAGCUGGUGAGUCACAGAAAGCCUCACAGCCCUGCAGGUGGCGGCAGCAACAACACAGGAAACAGACGCCCUGGCUCAGGUUCCUGUUCUCCCAAAAGAGCUGCCCCUGGCCAUGGCUUCUGGGAAUUCAGCGCCUCCUCGCGCUGGGCACCUAGGCCCAGGGAGACCUCCCUGGAUUGCCCCUUAGUGGGUCCCUCCGCUCCAGUCCAAGCAGCUCCUAUGGAGGCCCCGCCCCACGACUUCCUCUGACACCAGCUCCUGCCCACUGCUAGUCCCCUCAGGUCCCUGGCUCUCCGGGUUCUUUGCUGAGAGCGCGCCAGAGCCCAGGUCUCCCUCAGGACCCUGGGAGAAGGCCAGGAGGCCCAGAGGGCAGCCCAAGCCGCUUGGAACUCGCUCCUUGAAACACAGAUCCUCCCCCACAGCGAGGCCUCCUGGGAAGGAGGCUUGAGUGGCGCAGGGCGUCUUGAAACUGGUUCCGCACGGUGGCGGUAGAGCUCCAGCUAUGGCCAGCAGCCCUGGGCCUGAGCGCGCCUCUCCCGCCCUGGCUGUCUGAAAAAACGCCACCCAGACAAAGGCACCAGGCAACAUGGCCGCCCUGUCCUUUGCCCAGUUCUGAGGAAGCAGCUCCCGAUGCUGCUUUUGCUUUUUCAGUAUUUGUGGCGUUUGGUUCACGAUGUUUGCCUCUGUCGUGAUUCUGCCCGAGACAGGCUUUGCCGUGUUGCCCAGGACCAGCUGGAAAUCGUGGUGCCAGUGCAGCAGCUUCCAGCUCCUCUCUCCUGUUGUUUUCCAUCUGAACUCUGACCAAGGCCUGAGUGCCAUCCUCCCCUGGGCCUCCCCUCUCUCUGGUGGAACGUUCAGGGAGGCCCUGCUCAUUCAGUCUGUUCUGAGUUGAACUGCACCCAGUCUUCCUCCCUCUGUAGUUUGUGAGUGCUCAGACCAGGUGAGAGAAAUGACACGGUUCGGUUUGUUUUUUACUCUUUUUAGGACACAAGAAGUUGGGAAUCCAACGUGUCAAUAUGUAUGUCUUCCAGAGAGCCAAUGUGCACAUGGUGAUGUGUCUUAGUCUAGGUUCUGUUGCCAUAACAAAAAUACCUGAAGCUGAGUAUUUUGUAAGAAAUGGACAUUUCCUGUCCUCAUGGUUGUGGAGAUGGGAAAUCUAAGAAUAGGACCUCAGUGUCUGCUGAGCCGUUGGUGGGGGUCUUCUUGCUUAAUCAUAAUGUGGAAGAGGCCAGCACAGAGAGACAGAGGAAGCUUCUUGGAGACACCUGGCUUUUAUAGCAGAGUCACUCCCCACAAAACCUAUGAAUCCAUGAGUGGACUGAUCAGUGCCUGUGCAUGAGGGCAGAGUUCUCAUGAGCCAGUGACCUCCCAGAAAUACUUCAGUUCCCGUUCACACAUAAUUUUGGGAUUAACUUUCCGACAAUGGGUUUCCAGGGCACAACCAUUGAAACCAUACUAUGAAGUGACUUUUAAAGUUGAAUGAAAAUCGCUAGCAUCAUCUACUUUUCUAAAGUGGCCUUAAAAAACGAGUCUGUCACAAGGAGAGAGAGAGGAAGCUUCUUCGAGACACCUGACUGGUGUCCUCCAGCCUGGAUGUUGGUUUAUUUUCAAGUUUCCCCUUUAGAUUUCAGGCAGAGAAUGUUGAGGUAGGGGACUUGGUGUUGUGGUAUUCAUGUAUUUUAUGUCCUCUAGGCUGUGGUGAAUGCAGACAUGGGAAGAAGUGGUCACGUGGAAAGUGAGUUCAAAAAGAGAGAGAGAACAUGAAAAUGGGGACAUCUUCUAUCAUUGGAAGCAGAAGGCACGAGGGAAAAGAUAGUCGUCCACCUCCCCUUGAGGGCUCACAUCCAGCAGUCGAUGGGGCGCCCCAGGAUCCACAAGCAGCUUAUAGUAGGUGACAGAAACCUGUUCUUCUGGGCUCAGUAAUUGCAAGGAAGGGCACUUCUCAGUAGCUGGUGAGUCACAGAAAGCCUCACAGCCCUGCAGGUGGCGGCAGCAACAACACAGGAAACAGACGCCCUGGCUCAGGUUCCUGUUCUCCCAAAAGAGCUGCCCCUGGCCAUGGCUUCUGGGAAUUCAGCGCCUCCUCGCGCUGGGCACCUAGGCCCAGGGAGACCUCCCUGGAUUGCCCCUUAGUGGGUCCCUCCGCUCCAGUCCAAGCAGCUCCUAUGGAGGCCCCGCCCCACGACUUCCUCUGACACCAGCUCCUGCCCACUGCUAGUCCCCUCAGGUCCCUGGCUCUCCGGGUUCUUUGCUGAGAGCGCGCCAGAGCCCAGGUCUCCCUCAGGACCCUGGGAGAAGGCCAGGAGGCCCAGAGGGCAGCCCAAGCCGCUUGGAACUCGCUCCUUGAAACACAGAUCCUCCCCCACAGCGAGGCCUCCUGGGAAGGAGGCUUGAGUGGCGCAGGGCGUCUUGAAACUGGUUCCGCACGGUGGCGGUAGAGCUCCAGCUAUGGCCAGCAGCCCUGGGCCUGAGCGCGCCUCUCCCGCCCUGGCUGUCUGAAAAAACGCCACCCAGACAAAGGCACCAGGCAACAUGGCCGCCCUGUCCUUUGCCCAGUUCUGAGGAAGCAGCUCCCGAUGCUGCUUUUGCUUUUUCAGUAUUUGUGGCGUUUGGUUCACGAUGUUUGCCUCUGUCGUGAUUCUGCCCGAGACAGGCUUUGCCGUGUUGCCCAGGACCAGCUGGAAAUCGUGGUGCCAGUGCAGCAGCUUCCAGCUCCUCUCUCCUGUUGUUUUCCAUCUGAACUCUGACCAAGGCCUGAGUGCCAUCCUCCCCUGGGCCUCCCCUCUCUCUGGUGGAACGUUCAGGGAGGCCCUGCUCAUUCAGUCUGUUCUGAGUUGAACUGCACCCAGUCUUCCUCCCUCUGUAGUUUGUGAGUGCUCAGACCAGGUGAGAGAAAUGACACGGUUCGGUUUGUUUUUUACUCUUUUUAGGACACAAGAAGUUGGGAAUCCAACGUGUCAAUAUGUAUGUCUUCCAGAGAGCCAAUGUGCACAUGGUGAUGUGUCUUAGUCUAGGUUCUGUUGCCAUAACAAAAAUACCUGAAGCUGAGUAUUUUGUAAGAAAUGGACAUUUCCUGUCCUCAUGGUUGUGGAGAUGGGAAAUCUAAGAAUAGGACCUCAGUGUCUGCUGAGCCGUUGGUGGGGGUCUUCUUGCUUAAUCAUAAUGUGGAAGAGGCCAGCACAGAGAGACAGAGGAAGCUUCUUGGAGACACCUGGCUUUUAUAGCAGAGUCACUCCCCACAAAACCUAUGAAUCCAUGAGUGGACUGAUCAGUGCCUGUGCAUGAGGGCAGAGUUCUCAUGAGCCAGUGACCUCCCAGAAAUACUUCAGUUCCCGUUCACACAUAAUUUUGGGAUUAACUUUCCGACAAUGGGUUUCCAGGGCACAACCAUUGAAACCAUACUAUGAAGUGACUUUUAAAGUUGAAUGAAAAUCGCUAGCAUCAUCUACUUUUCUAAAGUGGCCUUAAAAAACGAGUCUGUCACAAGGAGAGAGAGAGGAAGCUUCUUCGAGACACCUGACUGGUGUCCUCCAGCCUGGAUGUUGGUUUAUUUUCAAGUUUCCCCUUUAGAUUUCAGGCAGAGAAUGUUGAGGUAGGGGACUUGGUGUUGUGGUAUUCAUGUAUUUUAUGUCCUCUAGGCUGUGGUGAAUGCAGACAUGGGAAGAAGUGGUCACGUGGAAAGUGAGUUCAAAAAGAGAGAGAGAACAUGAAAAUGGGGACAUCUUCUAUCAUUGGAAGCAGAAGGCACGAGGGAAAAGAUAGUCGUCCACCUCCCCUUGAGGGCUCACAUCCAGCAGUCGAUGGGGCGCCCCAGGAUCCACAAGCAGCUUAUAGUAGGUGACAGAAACCUGUUCUUCUGGGCUCAGUAAUUGCAAGGAAGGGCACUUCUCAGUAGCUGGUGAGUCACAGAAAGCCUCACAGCCCUGCAGGUGAGUAACAGAGGGCGCUCCCAGGUCAGCUGCUCAGUGGGGCCUGGGCCCCCAUAGCUGAAUACACUGGAAAUGCCCUAUUAUGGGGUUCGGAGAGCAACAGGCUGCCCUUCUAAGAGGGACUUUGGCCCGCAGGGACCUUAGGACCUUCCAGUGCCCGCAGGUAGCCCAGUACACCUGUCCAAGGGCUGUGGCCUGUCCUGCCAGUGCCUAGCCAUUGGGCACU